UUAAGUCCCGCAACGAGCGCAACCCUUAUCCUUGUUGCCAGCGAGUAAUGUCGGGAACUCAAAGGAGGACUGCCGGUGAUAAACCGGAGGAAGGUGGGGAUGACGUCAAGUCAUCAUGGCCCUUACGAGUAGGGCUACACACGUGCUACAAUGGCAUAUACAAAGAGAAGCGAACUCGCGAGAGCAAGCGGACCUCAUAAAGUAUGUCGUAGUCCGGAUUGGAGUCUGCAACUCGACUCCAUGAAGUCGGAAUCGCUAGUAAUCGUAGAUCAGAAUGCCUACGGUCGAAUACGUUCCGGGCCUU
rnacentral:rRNA from 1 species